rnacentral:rRNA from 1 species
UACGAAGGGGCUAGCGUUGUUCGGAAUUACUGGGCGUAAAGCGCGCGCAGGCGGUUCUUCAAGUCAGUGGUGAAAGCCCGGAGCUCAACUCCGGAACUGCCAUUGAAACUGUGGAACUUGAGGAUGAGAGAGGUGAGUGGAAUUCCCAGUGUAGAGGUGAAAUUCGUAGAUAUUGGGAAGAACACCGGUGGCGAAGGCGGCUCACUGGCUCAUUCUGACGCUCAGGCGCGACAGCGUGGGGAUCGAAACAAGG